UGUUGACACCAGCCUUGUUCAACCCAAUCCUCUAUAUACAAUGAUAUUGAUGCAAGCACCUAUUGAAAGACUAAUCAAUUGAUUUCUUACAUUAAGAAGGUUCAACAGAUAUGUGGAUGUCCUCUCAGACAAUUGAAGGCUCCAGCUAAUUUCUGUUUGGUUUACUUCAGGAUCGAUAAUGCUGAAAUAUAUUUUUAUACUGGUCACAGGACAAUAAAUGUAGCAGUCCUCUUUAUUUUUGAGUUUAUCUUAAGCAUCACCUUCCAUGUGCUAAUGUGCAGAUCUGAAAUUAACAUUUUUUUGAUGUUAGCUUACUAGUAAUAUAUGAACAUGGUUGUCACUAUCAACAUUAUAACUAUACAUACGUAUCUACCUUGACUACGACUAGGCAAAAUAAACAUACAUUACCAUCAUGUGGUCUAUUAUAUAUAAAAAUAACCAUCUCUAACUAUGUGACUAUAGCCAUCCUGGUGAUAGUCCCACCUUUUGGCACUUUCCUCCCACCGAAGGGGAGGUCAUGCAUUGCAAUCUAUGUGGUUAGUGUGGUAAUUUCAAGCCCAAAACUAGGGUAGUUCAAUUUGAUUUGGUCAGCGAACCAUGGGUUGGUAAAAGGUUCAUCUCAAAGGAUGUGUAUUAGUAUGAUUUUGAAUACGUUUGAAGGGCUAUUUGAAAAUAUUUACGAUAGCUACAUUUUGGGAAAAAAAAAAGAGAAAUUAUUUUUGAUAGUUUGGCAUGAUCUAAUUAUGAUGUACGAGUAUCUAGAGCUCUAAACAAGCUGAGCCGAGGAGCAAGCUGCUUACUUACGAAUAUAUCUAUAAGCUUUUGAGUUGAGCACGACUUCAACCAUCCAAGCUCUCCUCAUAUAGGCUCUAAACUGAGCAUCACUAUUAUUUUUUCAAUUGACUCAUGUUUAUGUUCAGCUUAUUGA
rnacentral:lncRNA from 1 species